rnacentral:rRNA from 1 species
AUUGAACGCUGGCGGCAGGCUUAACACAUGCAAGUCGAACGAGUGGCGGACGGGUGAGUAAUGCUUGGGAAUCUAGCUUGUGGAGGGGGAUAACUACGGGAAACUGUAGCUACUACCGCGUACAAUAGAAUGAGCCCAAGUGGGAUUAGGUAGUUGGUGAGGUAAAGGCUCACCAGGCCGACGAUCUCUAGCUGGUCUGAGAGGAUGACCAGCCACACUGGGACUGAGACACGGCCCAGACUCCUACGGGAGGCAGCAGUGGGGAAUAUUGGGCAAUGGGGGCAACCUGAUGCAGCCAUGCCGCGUGUGUGAAGAAGGUCUUCGGGUUGUAAAGCUCUUUAGGUAGGGAGGCGUUAACUACAGAAGAAGCACCGGCUAACUCCGUGCCAGCAGCCGCGGUAAUUC